AAAGAGUGUGAAAGUUUUUAUUCCAUUAAACAUGUUAUUUGAAUCAUAUUUGUAUCAAAUGGUAACAGUGAUCUAGAAGUUAAAAAAAUCUAGCUAUAGCUCUUUUAAUAUCUAGGUUAGACACAAGACGUAAACAUUCAUGAUGUACUAAAAUGAAGGAGCUUUCUACAACACAGUCUAGACUCCAUACAUAGGCUGUCAGAACAAAACAAACAACUGUUAAUGAACAUAAUAGAGGGUUUGCAGUCCAAAAAAAAAAGCAAGGUGUACCUAAACUGUGAAGGGGUGGUAGCCAUUAUUUAGAGGGGGUGGUACCCUAAUUAUGAGGGGGUGUUACCAUUAUUAGAGAGGUUGGUAGUCAUGAUUAUAGAAGGUAGUACCCAUAUCAAGAGGUGGGGGUUUCAGCUAAACUGUGAGGGGUGGUAGCCAGGAACCAAAUAAAUGUGAGAGGGUACUUUUGAGUCAGAGUGGAUUGUAUCCAAAAAGUGAGGGGUAUGCUCCAUGAAGGGUACAAGUGGUGAGGUUGGAAAUAGAAAAACAAAAGACUAAAAAGACAAAGGAAAUGUCAACAUGCACAAGUUUUAGUUUUGAAUGAUUGGAUCAUGUCCCCACUUCUUCUCAAAAUUCAACUGAAGUGUUGUGUCUCUAGCUGAAAUUGGAAUGACGUUUCUAUACAAACUUGGUUGCAUGUGUGUAAGCGUAUGUUGUGAGGUUCGCUAACGUUUAGGUAUGGUCAGAUGUGUCCACUGUCCAGUAUAUCGAGUCUAGACUGUGGUAUAAAAGCACGCCCAAACAAGAGUAAUAUCACAAAGUAGACAACAACAAGUCAGUGCAUCUAUAGAGUUUUUCUCGUACUAGAGAGAUUUCAGUUUUGACCAAUCUAGUUCAAUCUUAGUGUCCAAGCUGGAACCCGAUCUAAGCUUUCAAACUGGAUGUUACUUUGAAAUGAGCGAAUAUUGAAUUGUCUUUUAUGUGCUUCAUUUAGACUGAAACACAAAAUAAAUAUGGUUUUAUACGUGUAUAGUAAACGUCCCUUUUAGACCUUGCGAUCAGUGUGGCAAAUAAGGUAAAGCGCAUCUGUUUGUAUGGCCUAGUCAAGAGGGUGUCAUGUGGCCAUCACAACAACCUUGACUUUCCCCAACCUUUUUUUUUUCAUGGUAACAAGUAAAGCUGGGUGGACUUACAGAUGUUAUAAAAUGCCGAAGUAUAAAGUCAUUGUCCUAACAGAAUUCAAACCUAUACCCUUUUAAGUGCUCUAUCCAGGGCCGGUCCUAGCAAUUGCGGGGCCCUAUGCGAAACUGAUUGCGCGGGGCCUAGUCUGUGCGGGAAUAAGGAUAAUAAGUGAAAUUUAAGAUUUUGUAUAAGAAAAAAAGUUCGACUUUACUAAGUUAAAAAUUGCGAUCUUUACUUUAAGAACCUUGUAACAAAUGGCAUAUUUAUAUGCUAGUGACUAUAAAAGCAAAUAAAGUAUUGGAACUUCCGAUUAAGGUUUAAAUUCGCCAGAUUAUUACACGAAAGCUGACAAUGCUUUUUUUCUUUUAUCACGCGUAGGAUUGGCGUUUUCCGCAAUUAAUGACACUCACAAAUGACAAUUUAGUCUAUUUUUCUGGAGAUUUUUAAUAGUUUUCAGAAUAUUUUAAUAAAUUCAGGAGAUUUUCUUGAGUUUUUCGUUUAUAUUUUGCAAUUUAAUAAUUACAUCCUGAAU